UGGGGAAUUUUGGACAAUGGGCGAAAGCCUGAUCCAGCAAUGCCGCGUGUGUGAAGAAGGCCUUCGGGUUGUAAAGCACUUUUGUCCGGAAAGAAAUCCUUGGCUCUAAUACAGUCGGGGGAUGACGGUACCGGAAGAAUAAGCACCGGCUAACUACGUGCCAGCAGCCGCGGUAAUACGUAGGGUGCAAGCGUUAAUCGGAAUUACUGGGCGUAAAGCGUGCGCAGGCGGUUUGCUAAGACCGAUGUGAAAUCCCCGGGCUCAACCUGGGAACUGCAUUGGUGACUGGCAGGCUAGAGUAUGGCAGAGGGGGGUAGAAUUCCACGUGUAGCAGUGAAAUGCGUAGAGAUGUGGAGGAAUACCGAUGGCGAAGGCAGCCCCCUGGGCCAAUACUGACGCUCAUGCACGAAAGCGUGGGGGAGCAAACAGGAUUAGAUACCCUGGUAGUCCACGCCCUAAACGAUGUCAACUAGUUGUUGGGGAUUCAUUUCCUAGUAACGUAGCUAACGCGUGAAGUUGACCGCCUGGGGAGUACGGUCGCAAGAUUAAAACUUAAAUGAAUUGACGGGGUCAUAGCUGUUU
rnacentral:rRNA from 1 species